UAUACUCAGCUUGUACAUAAGUUUGAUAAUAAUUUUAUUAAGACUUCAAGUACCUCAGCUACGUGUAUCUCUGCCAGUUUUAUUUCAUUAUUACAUGUUCUUUUUUUUUUAAUUUCUUAGACCUUUUAGUGUGUGUAAGUGAAAAGAACACGUAUAUGUAGUACUUACAUGAAGAUUAGUAGAAUAAUAGUGAAUGAUGUGGUGUGCAAUUAAUAGAUUAGGCUCGUCGACCUCCAUGACAAUGUUGUCAAUUAAGUCGAGCAAUAUAA